rnacentral:rRNA from 1 species
GUGGGGAAUAUUGGGCAAUGGGCGCAAGCCUGACCCAGCAACGCCGCGUGAAGGAAGAAGGCUUUCGGGUUGUAAACUUCUUUUAUGAGGGACGAAGGAAGUGACGGUACCUCAUGAAUAAGCUCCGGCUAACUACGUGCCAGCAGCCGCGGUAAUACGUAGGGAGCGAGCGUUAUCCGGAUUUACUGGGUGUAAAGGGCGUGUAGGCGGGGAAGCAAGUCAGAUGUGAAAACCAGUGGCUCAACCACUGGCCUGCAUUUGAAACUGUUUUUCUUGAGUGAUGGAGAGGCAGGCGGAAUUCCGUGUGUAGCGGUGAAAUGCGUAGAUAUACGGAGGAACACCAGUGGCGAAGGCGGCCUGCUGGACAUUAACUGACGCUGAGGCGCGAAAGCGUGGGGAGCAAACAGGAUUAGAAACCCCAGUAGUCC